rnacentral:rRNA from 1 species
AUUGAACGCUGGCGGCAUGCUUUACACAUGCAAGUCGAACGGCAGCGCGGGCUUCGGCCUGGCGGCGAGUGGCGAACGGGUGAGUAAUGCAUCGGAACGUGCCCAGUAGUGGGGGAUAGCCCGGCGAAAGCCGGAUUAAUACCGCAUACGACCUGAGGGUGAAAGCGGGGGACCGAAAGACCUCGCGCUAUUGGAGCGGCCGAUGUCGGAUUAGCUAGUUGGUAGGGUAAAGGCUUACUAAGGCGACGAUCCGUAGGUGGUCUGAGAGGACGACCAGCCACACUGGGACUGAGACACGGCCCAGACUCCUACGGGAGGCAGCAGUGGGGAAUUUUGGACAAUGGGGGCAACCCUGAUCCAGCCAUGCCGCGUGCGAGAAGAAGGCCUUCGGGUUGUAAACCGCUUUUGUUCGGGAAGAAAUCCUCUGGGCUAAUACCCCGGGGGGAUGACGGUACCGGAAGAAUAAGCACCGGCUAACUACGUG